UGGGACUGGGGACUGAAGUGCUCUGUUACCCACAGGCCAGGCACUGCACACACAGCUCCCUUGCACAGCCUUGCCUUGAGCUCAGCCCUGGCCUGGAGCACCCUCUCUAGAACUGGGGAGCAGUUUGGGGAUUGUGCCAGCCCAGUCCUGGCCUCU
ensembl:misc_RNA